rnacentral:rRNA from 1 species
UACCAGCACCCCGAGUGGUCGGGACGAUUAUUGGGCCUAAAGCAUCCGUAGCCGGUUCUACAAGUCUUCCGUUAAAUCCACCUGCUUAACAGAUGGGCUGCGGAGGAUACUAUAGAGCUAGGAGGCAGGAGAGGCAAGCGGUACUCAGUGGGUAGGGGUAAAAUCCGUUGAUCCAUUGAAGACCACCAGUGGCGAAGGCGGCUUGCCAGAACGCGCUCGACGGUGAGGGAUGAAAGCUGGGGAGCAAACCGG